UAUUGCAGAUUCCAAUUCUUCUGAGGGACCUAUGUCGAAAAAAAUUUACCUUAAUUUUUCUAGGGUGACCGUAAAGUGAGAAAAAAAUAUUUUUCUUCGGUAUAUAUGUACUGUUUAUUCAUUAAUAACAACAAUAAAAAAAGGAAAUAAACUUAUUAGAAUUUAAAACUUGAUGCAUUGUUAUACACGUAAGGCUUUGAAAAUGCGCACACGAGAAUAUUUUGCAAGCGUCAAAUGUUCCUGCUCAUUUACAAUAUUUACGUCCAUAGCGUAAUCGAACUGCGUAGGUGAGCGCACUCAAGAAAACUGUGGUUGUGUGCCCGUCAAAAAGCAAAACAUGAGACAAACUUCCGCUGAUCUUUAUCUUAUCGCCAACCAGAGGCAAUUAGCUUUUGCGAGCCUCAAAAAAAAAAAAAAAAAAAAAGUAAAAAAAAGAAAAAAAAAAGAAACUCGUGCACGGCGGCAUCCUUCCUAUGCACACCCCUGUGAGCACUAAACGAGCGAGAAACAGGCGGUCGCCCAUCAGUUUUGCGAGCGCAAGAAGCCGAUAACGCCUGCGCUCGCGCCAUUGCGCGAGCGGUAGUAUAUAGACGCGCCGGGGCAAACUAGCUCUAAAAGAAACCCUGAGACGAAAACCGAGACAGUGAGGUGCGAGAAAAAAAUUCCCUGUAUUCCCAUAGUGGCAGAGCAUGCCAGAAAAGAAAAAGUUAGGAAGUUUGCGCGCGUUUUAAACGUACAGACGGUGCCGUAAAUAUACGUCAUUGACCCUCAAAGGGUUAAUUUAUGCCUACACUCGUUCAUCCUAUCUCUAAACUAUUACUAACCCCAAGUACCAGGCGAUAUGUCACAUGAAGCAAACGCGGGAAAUUCAAAGUGGCGUGUCUGCAAGUUCAUGUCAUCUUUAGGUUUUUUGCAUACUAAGCCACCUCCCACAGUAACGCUGAUUUAUUUGCAUUCGAGCGGUACUUGAUCAAUCUAAUGGAACAACUAUAAUCGCUCUUUAAUGUUCUCCCUUUAUUGUGUAUUCUGCUUGGCUGCCAGAAAACGCUAGAAUUGUUUUCGAUAUCCAAGUGAUGGAAUAUUUCACUGAUGGCCUUAUGUGACAAACACACAAAAUAAGAUCGAUGAAAGUGAUAGCAAAAUUAUGCAAUGUUUCUUUUAUAGAUUUUGGACACGACCUUUGACGAGUAUGUAGAUAUUGGGCCUGGUGACACCAUACCUAACAUGGCCAAAAUAAAAGUGCAGCCUGCCAUGUCGGCUCACCCAAAUGAACAGUCAACAUCACAGGCUCAGCAGGGAUCUGCAGAGAGCAGUGCUCUUGCACAAGACUUACCUUCAGCCAUGGAUUUUCUUGAACUGCCCUUGGGCUCGGACGAUCAUGGAUCGUCAUUUGUGCUCCCAAGUUUCGGCGCUCUGCAUAAUACAAUCAGCAGUGGGGAACCCCUCACUUCGUCUGCACACAGAAAGGUGGUGGACAUCCUGUUCGGCAAAAUGCUGAA